GACGUAGGGCGCGAGCGUUGUCCGGAUUUAUUGGGCGUAAAGAGCUCGUAGGCGGCUUGUCGCGUCGUCCGUGAAAACUUGGGGCUCAACCCCAAGCCUGCGGUCGAUACGGGCAGGCUAGAGUUCGGUAGGGGAGACUGGAAUUCCUGGUGUAGCGGUGAAAUGCGCAGAUAUCAGGAGGAACACCGGUGGCGAAGGCGGGUCUCUGGGCAACAACUGACGCUGAGGAGCGAAAGCGUGGGGAGCGAACAGG
rnacentral:rRNA from 1 species